rnacentral:tRNA from 1 species
GCCAGAAUGACAUAGUGGUUUGAGUGUUGGACUACGACUCUGGAGACUAGGGUUCAAUUUCCAGCUCGGCCA